rnacentral:rRNA from 1 species
CCUAACACAUGCAAGUCGAACGGUAACAGGAAGAAGCUUGCUUCUUUGCCGACGAGUGGCGGACGGGUGAGUAAUGUCUGGGAAACUGCCUGAUGGAGGGGGAUAACUACUGGAAACGGUAGCUAAUACCGCAUAACGUCGCAAAACCAAAGAGGGGGACCUUCGGGCCUCUUGCCAUCGGAUGUGCCCAGAUGGGAUUAGCUAGUAGGUGGGGUAACGGCUCACCUAGGCGACGAUCCCUAGCUGGUCUGAGAGGAUGACCAGCCACACUGGAACUGAGACACGGUCCAGACUCCUACGGGAGGCAGCAGUGGGGAAUAUUGCACAAUGGGCGCAAGCCUGAUGCAGCCAUGCCGCGUGUAUGAAGAAGGCCUUCGGGUUGUAAAGUACUUUCAGCGGGGAG